UUUCACGUAGUGGUGAGCAAGCAGCAACGACGACUAAAACAACCCGAAACGGCGGUAAUUUGGGGAUCCGGAUUUCGGAUUUUGCGGAAACGAGCAGCGACGGCGGUGACUCGGAUUCUUCUUUCUUUCAAUUUCAGGUUACCUCGGUUCUUUACAAAUCGAUAACAGUCGAGCGCCGCCGCACGAACUGUCAGACCACGGAACGAUUGAACAGAGGUGCUAAUUGUUUGUCGUUUGGAGAAGGGGCGUUUGUUGAGCACCACCCGAGCAGAAGGGUUUUGGUGGAAUAAAGGUACACAGGAUUCCAUUGUGGUUUAACUUUUAAUUGUUGCACUAAAUGUUCAAUGGAGAUCACAUUUGUGCCGUGGUUAAUUGAUUGUUGUAGAUCUAUGCCCUUAGGCAAUUUGGUUAUA